rnacentral:lncRNA from 1 species
ACUUCUUUGGAGCCUUCGCGGUGACGAGCAGCCGGGCGAAGCGGCCCUCCUCCUCACGACAGCCCGAGGAGGGGGUCAGGGUCAUUUUCAGACAGCCCCCUCUGGCUUCCUCUUCACACCCUGCUCUAGAUGGAGGAGAGAGGCCUGGCAACUCUGGGUCGGCGCUCCUGGAACCUCACAUCUCGGGUGUGAGCAACCUAGGACACAAAACGCGGGGAUGGCUUGGAAGCCCGUGGGCAGGCGAAACCGGGAGUUCUGGCAGCGGCUCAGCCUCCCCCUCCUCCUCCCUCCCCCUCCCUCCCCCUCCCCUGCCUUCCCCCGGGAGCAGCGGGAAAUUAUUUAUUAAAACGCCGCCCGCGCUCUCAUUUAUUUGCGGUGAAUAAUCCUCGGCAUCUCAGCACGUUUAUUAAACCUUUCCCGUCCCUGCGCCCGCAUUACUUUAAUAAUAAAUCGCGUGUCACUUUCCAGCGACAUUAUUAAAGCGGGUCCGCUGCAGCAGAGGCGGGGUGCGGGGAGGGAGGGGGCGGUGGACAACAGUUCUCCCAUUCCAGGCUGUGGUGCUUGAACCAGCAGGGCGGGGAGGGGAAAACUGAGGCUGCUAGGAGGCUGCUCCUGAACACCUACAAAGUCGGCUAACGCGAUUAAGGAGUGCGGAUUCCCCGGGACCUGCGUGACCCUCUCCGGUGGGGUGGGGCUUUUGGUGAGGAGCCUCUGCUCUGCAGGUGGACGCGGUAGGAGCUAUGGGCCCGCAGAGGGCGUCUUGGAGCCCAGCUGGGCGAAGAACAAGCUAGGGGCGGAUUCCCUGGCUGAUGCUGGGACUCACACCCACGUCCCCUCUUUCAGCGCCGGGCGGAUUUUGGCCACAGCGCCGAACAGCACGCCCCACCCCCGCCUACCCCUCUGAUUCUGCUUCUGUGGGCGCCCUGGAAUCGGCUCCC